UCUGAUAAAAAAAAAAUCAGUACCAUAAACUGGAUUCGAUUUAUAAAAAUUAGCAUUUACUAGUUUUUAUCAUAAAUAAAAGAGCGGGCUACUACAUACUACCCCUCUUAACAAAAAUUUCGUCCCGAAAUUUGCAUAUCUCUGUUAAAACAAUCCGGGUACUUCUCUUUCAUUUUGUCUUCAAACUCCCACGUAAUUUUUUUUUAUAUCUGCGGUGCCUCCAUAAGAUUUUCACUGAUGUGAUUGAAACUGAUUUCGCAAGUGUCCACGUAUUGCUGGCAAGGGGGUAUGGAUGUUCCCAAUUGCUGAACCUCGUU
rnacentral:lncRNA from 1 species